AUUGAACGCUGGCGGCAUGCCUUACACAUGCAAGUCGAACGGCAGCGCGGACUUCGGUCUGGCGGCGAGUGGCGAACGGGUGAGUAAUACAUCGGAACGUACCCUGUUGUGGGGGAUAACUAGUCGAAAGAUUAGCUAUACCGCAUACGACCUGAGGGUGAAAGUGGGGGACCGGAAACGGCCUCAUGCAGCAGGAGCGGCCGAUGUCUGAUUAGCUAGUUGGUGGGGUAAAGGCCCACCAAGGCGACGAUCAGUAGCUGGUCUGAGAGGACGAUCAGCCACACUGGGACUGAGACACGGCCCAGACUCCUACGGGAGGCAGCAGUGGGGAAUUUUGGGCAAUGGGGGCAACCCUGAUCCAGCAAUGCCGCGUGUGUGAAGAAGGCCUUCGGGCUGUAAAGCACUUUUGUCCGGAAAGAAAUCGCGCUGGUUAAUACCUGGCGUGGAUGACGGUACCGGAAGAAUAAGCACCGGCUAACUACGUG
rnacentral:rRNA from 1 species